GGCUGCUAAACUAUAAGGAAUAAAGAACUAUGGGCUGUAAAAUUAUAUAAAAAAGAAUACAAACAAAUAUGAAUAGUAUGCUGUAAGAUUUCUCUUUACUUAUCCUUUUAGUUGUUGUGCACGUGAAGGAAUUAUGACUGUGCAGAGAAACCAGAACCGGUUUGAACCGGUUUAAAAUAAGCAGAUACUGGCUCUGUAGGUGGGCGGCUCUUAGUAUACGGUCCAAUCAAACAAUUUUGAUCUCUAUAUAUUCCUCUACAUAAAACUG
rnacentral:lncRNA from 1 species